rnacentral:rRNA from 1 species
GAACUUUGCUCUUUGGAGUGGGGGAUAACCUGGCCGAAAGCCGGGAUUAAUACUCGCAAACCGACUUCUUUUGGGUUGUAAGGGGGGGGGAUCGCAAGACCUCUCUCUCUUGGGUGGGCCGAUGUCAGAUUAGCUAGUUGGUGGGGUAAAGGCCUACCAAGCCGGCGAUCUGUAUCUGGUCUGAGAGGACGACCACCCACACUGGGACUGAGACACGGCCCAGACUCCUACGGGAGGCAGCAGUGGGGAAUUUUGGACAAUGGGCGCAAGCCUGAUCCAGCAAUGCCGCGUGUGUGAAGAAGUCCUUCGGGUUGUAAAGCACUUUUGUCCGGAAAGAAAACCACUGUCCUAAUACGCCGGGGGGAUGACGGUACCCGAAGAAUAAGCACC